AGCAGUCGCCACGGUAAUACGGAGGAUCCAAGCGUUAUCCGGAUUUAUUGGGUUUAAAGGGUGCGUAGGCGGCCUGUUAAGUCAGGGGUGAAAGACGGUAGCUUAACUAUCGCAGUGCCCUUGAUACUGAUGGGCUUGAAUGAACUAGAGGUAGGCGGAAUGUGACAAGUAGCGGUGAAAUGCAUAGAUAUGUCACAGAACACCAAUUGCGAAGGCAGCUUACUAUGGUUUUAUUGACACUGAGGCACGAAGGCGUGGGGAUCAAACAGGAUUAGAUACCCCGGUAGUCCCUGUCUCUUAUAC
rnacentral:rRNA from 1 species